CCUACGGGGGGCAGCAGUGAGGACUAUUGGUCAAUGGCCGGAAGGCUGAACCAGCCAUGCCGCGUGAAGGUCAGUGCCCUAUGGGCGUUAAACUUCUUUUGUGCGGGAGCAAUAAUGGUCACGUGUGGCCAGACGAGAGUACCGUACGAAUAAGCAUCGGCUAACUCCGUGCCAGCAGCCGCGGUAAUACGGGGGAUGCAAGCGUUAUCCGGAGUUAUGGGGUUUAAAGGGUGCGUAGGCUGUGAGGUAAGUCAGCGGUGAAAUGCCCCCGCUCAACGGGGUGAAGUGCCAUUGCUACUGCCUUGCGUGAAUACGGAUGCCGUGGGAGGAAUGUGUGGUGUAGCGGUGAAAUGCAUAGAUAUCACACAGAACACCGAUUGCGAAGGCAUCUCACGAAUCCGCGAUUGACGCUGAUGCACGAAAGCGUGGGUAUCAAACAGGAUUAGAUACCCUUGUAGUC
rnacentral:rRNA from 1 species